CUUUCUUCUGCAAGCCCCAAAACUUACUUUGACAGUCACAUUCCUGUGAAUACACCAACAUAUUUUGUGAUCUUUAACUGGAAGACAGUGGCUGAGAGACGUUUUUGUUUUCAUUUUUAACCUUUAUUUUUUUUGUCUUUCUAAUUCCAGACUUUCUUAUAUAUUCUUAAAAAUUCAAAAGUAUUGCCACCAACAAAAAUCACCUUAAGUCCCAACAGCCAGAGAGAACCAUUGUUUGAUGUUUAUAUUUCUCCAUACUUAAUGGUGUGUGUGCACAACGGGAAAUGGUUGGUGCUUCCCUCAAAGGCAGAGAAAUUGCCAGUCACAAGAACAUAAAAAAAUCAAACAGCAAGCCAUAUAGAUAUGUAAAAUUAUAAUUUUUUGGCUUAGGUUAAGGACUAUAAGAUGUCUAUAUUGGUCUAUUUAAAUUUGGUGUUUGGAAUUAAAUAUAAGAACAUGUUUCAUGUGUUUUUUUUAACAUACUUUUUUUUGUAUUAGUGUUUUUGGAGCAAAACAUUUUGUUCAUUGCACAUGUCCAAAUCAAAAUGUACAUUGAACUAGAAUUUGCUCAGCUAGCAACAGCAUUCAGAUACACUGAACAUAGUUCAUCAGUGGUGCUAACAUUCUCAAGGAAAGCUGAUACCUAGGCCCAUGAGACCAUUGGUGAGCCAAGGCUGUUGAGAACAGUUGAAGCCAGUCUACAUCAUGACACACCUCUCCUGAAUGCUGUCACCUCUUCAUUUUCUGCAGUUGCCCUUGGGUGCUUGAUUCUGAGAGAAAGGGACAUGCAGCCAUGGUCUUAUUUAACCCUGCUUUCCCUUUCUGAGUCAUUAUCUCUAGCUGGAAGUGAACCCAUUCCCUCCAACCCGAGGCCUCUUUAGAUCUUAUUCAGGUUUCUUCCAUCUAUGGCUUAGAGUACAACUCAUGUUCAGUCCUCCAAUGUUGUUCUUGCUGUGUGAAGGGAACUCUUAGAGCUCCCUCUUACUUGACACAGCUUGCCUUUAAACACUGGUUGUACACGUUGGCAGCCCAUGCACAGAAAAGAGAUGAGUGCAGAGACUCAUUGCUGCUCAAGGUGUUGAGAGGUGUCAUGUGCUUAGACCUAAAGAAAACAUUUACACCCACCCUAAGACUGAACAUGCUGAAAGAGGGAG
rnacentral:lncRNA from 1 species